rnacentral:lncRNA from 1 species
UAUCGAAAUAAUAGCUAUGGCUGAUCUUUUACAGGUCUUCCUGUUCUCCAGGAUUUCAGUGAUGGUGCACAGGUACACUAACUACGUGGAAAAAUCAUAGAGGCAAAGUCUUGAUCCUGGAAGCACUUAAGCAGAAGCUUAACUUUACUGCUCAGAGGACAGCCAAUGUUCAUUGACUUCAGUGGGGCUAAUCCAUGACAGUAAAGCACAUGCAUAAGCGUUUGCAACAUUGGGGACUAACUGUGGCCAUGUUAUGCCUGAUGUACUAGCACAAGGCAUCUGAAGGUUUAUUCCAGCUUUAAGUCACAGGUAGAAAAUAUGCUGAUGGUCUUGAAGAGGAUGAUGUAAAACCAAAACAGAAGCAGCUAAGGAGAUGAACUACCUAAGAGUGAGGAAAGUUUUGUCUCGGGAAGGAAAACAUGCCUUUUACUGGAUGUGGAAUUGUUUGGUUUCAGAAUGGAGCCAUGCUGCUGGGGUUCUGGAGUUUGUGUCAGCAGAGCUGUGGAGAAGAAUUGCAGGAAUAAAGCUUUCCUACACUGCAGAUUCCUGGUAUUUCUGGGCCCCUCCAGGGUUGCGGAUUGACCCAAGACAAAGGAGAACUUGUUUAAAUGCUCAUCCCAAGAAGACAGACCAGGAAAUGGGGAAUGUGGCUUGUUAUUCGCUCCUCUAUAUGUAUCUGAUACCUUAAGGACAACACAAGCAAUCCUUUUGUCCCCUUUUUUAAUUGUCAUCUGUUUAUCUUUGUUUUGAUGCAUUGUGAGAGGGAGCCAAAGGCCCUACCAGCCCCGUGGCAAGCAAGGAGUUAACUGCAAUGCACUCUCAGGAUCACACAGGUGUUCCAGGCACAGCCCAUUGAAGCAGUGGCUCCAGGAACAGGAAGAGAGAGAGACAGCCUGGGAGAAGGCUGGGCUUUAUGGGCUAGGUAAGAACCCCCGGAGGUAGGCAAUGCUUUUGUGCUACACUUUGAUGUUUGUUAUUUGCUAUUCCCUGACCAAGAGAUAAAGGUCUUGAGCAGACAUCAAUGGGAGCUGGACUAGCCCCUCACACAGAGACUUAGCAUAGCAUUGAGGGCUGCUCUAAUUUGCACUCCAGCUGCAAUGACCGGUGUGUAGGAAUCCCACCCUCUUGUCUUUCUCACACUCUGUGCACUAGGAAUGCUGGAGAGGAAGUCUUUGGACCCUUGUUCCAGCACAAUAGGGAAAGCUUAUGUGAGUUACUGACCUAGUGUUUUUUGGGGCAAUUCACCAGCAAGCCUCUAGUAUCCUUCAAGGAAAGG